CCGCACCUGCGCGCAGCCCCAGGUUGGCAGAAAGAGGCCAUCACCACAUCACAGCAGCCGCGCUGGAAAGAGGAGCUCUCAGCGCGCAGAGGCUGAGGGCUGCUCGCUUCCCGCCCACACUCGGACCUUGGCUCUGGCGGGGAGUUGGCCCUCCGCGCUCGCUGGGCAAACAAGCCAGAAGCUGAACAAAGGCAGGACUCUUUCUCUUCCCUUCCCUUCCCUUCCCUGAGGGCGUCACUUAGCCUCGCGCCUGGGCUGCAGAGUUCCCUUCAGGCUCUGACUGCCAACUUCAGGCCAAGGAAUGGAGACCUGAAAUCGGCCCCUGUUUCAGGAGGAGCAGGACCCUCUCCCUGCAUUUGGGAAUCCGUGACAGCUGCGGUCCUCCUGAGCAGACCAUCCGUGGGAGGGGAAGAAACGCCCAGGUGAAGAGGCAGGAAUAGGAAAUGUGGUCUCAGGGUUCUCCUUUCAGAGACUGCAGGGGACCUGAGAGUGACAAUGCUCACAUGCCAAUUACUCAGGAGAGGCGGCUCAGGUGUCCUAUGAUGAUGUCCUGUCAUCUGUGACCUGUGGUACACUCUGCACAAGAACAGUGUCCUAGCUGCCAGCGUUCCUCUUUGAAGGCUCAAGAUUAUGUUAGAACCAGGACAACAGGACAUAGGUCUACUAAUGCCAACGCCAUACCAACUCUUGAAGGCUCUGCUUCAUCCCCACUGUCCAGAGCUGUAGUCCAGACAAGACAAGACCUGAGUGGUUCGUGUCAGCACAGGAGAGAGAGAGCCACUGACAGCUGUGCUUAGAUGCCAGAUGCUCUCUCCGCCUGGGAGCCCAGAGAGCCUGUCCUGGCUCUUGACGUUCGGCAAUUACUGAUCCUUUCAGCUGAACCCCUGAUCUCUAAUAUGGGGGAGAUCAUUCUGCGACCCUGGAGGAAUGCCGUUCACAUCAAAUUUGAGAUAUGGAAAAACCCAGAGCAUAGAUUCUGAUGUGGCAGUCUGCAAUGAACGCGAGCGAGUCUUCAUUUUCCCUCCACAACGAGGAGAGCAUCAGGGAGAAGAGGGAAGACAAAAGAGAUAGGUAGUGGGGGCAUCAGGAGACUCACCUCAAAGCGGCUGAGGAAGUCUUUCAGGUUUGGGAAUUCAUCCAGGCACUUGGGAUCGAAAAUGCGGUACAGGUCAAGGACAUCGUAAGCCAGGAAAUCCACAUAGGUGAGCUGCAGAAAGGCAAAGCGUGCAUGGGCACCAAACGCCAAACCUGCGAAAAAUGACACGCCGGGUCCCCAAAGCCGUCCCCUUACCUUGUCCCCUGCAAACCAAGGCCUCUUCCCCAGAAACUCGGAGAAGGGCUUCAUCUUUUCAGGGAUCUCCUUCAAGUACCCAGGCUUCAGUUUCUCCUGAGGCACAAAACAGCUGUCACCACCCUCACACACAGACUCCCUGGCACACAGCAGGCCUCCCAGGGCUGGGCCGGAUCCCAGCUGCCAGCGAGCAGCCACGUCCCCCGACGGCACCUGUUUCGGUGCCCAGGCUAUGCUUUAACCCACUGUGGUCAUUAGAGUCCUACUGGGUCCCACCUCCAUCUGUGAGAGGGGAACGGAAGGCAAAGGGCAAAGCCACCCUGUCCCUGAACCUGUCACCACUCAGCUCCAAACACUUGCCACGGGUCAGACCAGCAGUGCUGUGAGACCUGGCAGAGCUCAGGCCUCAGCCCUCAGGCAGAUCAACACUCAAAUGAUUCGGGAAGGAAGGGCCUCUACGAAGCACUGCAAGAGGGGUUAGAAAUGGUGUGGAUGCCUGAGCAGUUUCUGGACAGUAGAGGAGAAUCUGAGAGGCUGAAAGGAAGGAGGGAGAGGAACAAAGUCAGACCCUGUGCUGCCUACUGGGCAAAUGCACUGAUGCCUGAGAUGCCCAGGAGGAGACGCUGGGCUGACGCGGUAACACCCUGUCCAGGAACUGAAUUCCCACCUGAGGAGUCUGGACUCUUUGCUGGGAUCGGUGGGAUCUUGGAUCUCCAUUUCAUGCACAGGGGGUUCUGAAGUCACUAUGGAACCUUGUAAGGACUAACUUGGUAGAUCAGCAGCUCCAAGAAGUUCAAAUUACAAAAGGACCUGAGACAAAAGAAUUCCCUGAUCUCCUUUCAAACCCUGUCCAGCCCUGCCCAGGGAGGGACUCACAAAGUCAGAGCUGUAGCAAAGACUGGCCAAGUCAUCAGCUGUGUCCCUGGUCUGGUUCUCCAAAACAUCCACUCGAAUCUUCUCCUCCUCUGUCUCCCCACCUGCAGCCACACCCCAGAGACACACCCUCAGUAGCUCACUCUGGCCAAGGCCAGGGCAAUGCCACCUGGACCCUGCCCCCCACCCCCAGCUGCACUCACACAUGUUGUGCUUGCGAGCAAUGUAGCGCAGGAUGGCAUUGCUCUGGGUCAGCUUGUGAGCCCCGUCAAUUAAGUAGGGCAGCUGCAAGAACAACAGGCACAGGUCGCUCAGGCCACCAGGCCCCCCUGCACCCUCCCUUCAGCAAGGGCACAGGUGACACCUGGCACUCACACAGCCUGGCCCAUGGGAGACACUCCACUAUCUACCGAAACACGAAGGGAGGAGCUGGGACCAGAGCAUCACGGAAAGACGGCGAAGACCACCAGGAGCUGAGACCGUGAGCACAAGGCACUGGGCCCUCAAACUGCUAAGCUGGCAAAGGAGCUGGCAACCCAGCCCCCACACCUACAUUGGGGAAGUCCAGCCCCAGCUUGAAUUUUUCACUCAGCCACUGGCUUCUGUCAUAGUCGGGAGCUGUGGAAAAGGAGAUGCAGUGAAACAACCCUCCCCACACACCAGCCCUCCUUCAUGGGGGACCCGCCACCGGGUCAGAGGCAAGACCUCCUGGAACAGGUGGAUCUGGCAUCUGAACCACUAUGACUCCCAUGGCAGCUCUGGGGGAAAAUGCACUUAGGAGGAUUUGGAACCUAUACGCGUAAGGCUUAUUAAGCACGUGGGCAACCUCUUAGGGGAACCCAUGCCCAGGGCUGGUACAGGCACCCAGCCAUGGACUCUCACGUCCUGCCUUGGUGGCCAACUGCACCCCCAAAGGGUUUGGGAAUGGGCAGACCCCUGUGGCAGCUGGUGGAGCCUGACAGAGGCGGGCCACAGGGGUCAGGACAUGGCAUGCCUGGCCCGAAUCAGCAGGACCUGAACAGAACAGGAUGCCAUUACCGUCCCCCAUCGUGUACUUCUUCUCCUCGUAGCUGGAGUCUGUGUACUCCAGGAGCAGGCGGAUGGCGUGGGCCAGCUGGGAGAGAUUGUCGUGCCAGAGCCUCGAGUCUUCCAGAAAACACUAUCCCAGAGAUGGGAAGAAUCAUCCAGUUCACGGGGCAGAAAAAGGAAGUGUGGUCUCAGUGCCUUUGUUCCGGGAUUGAGGAGGACCCCCGCUCUUCUGCCACGUGCCUAAGAGAGAGAAUGAUCAAGUAUAAAUUCACCGCAGAGUUCCUGCUGUGUCCCAGUGGGUAAAGAAUCAGGCACUUUUCUCUGCCGUGGGGUCUGAGGUGCCCUCCCUGACCCCUGGUGCAGUGGGUUAAGGAUCCCGGUUGCCACGGCUCUGGGGUAGGUCACAGCAGCAGCUGGGACUUCGAUCCCCGACCCAGGAACUUCCAUAUGCCCCAGGUGUGGCCAGAAAAAUAAAGGUAAGUGAAUCAAGGGAUUCAUGUCCCAGGUCGUGAAUCUAAAUGCAGAACCAGGCCCAGCAAAGCACAUACCCAGGUGCGGCCUCAGACCUAUCCUGACAGCCAGGUAAAUGUCCCUCACAUUGAUACAGUGACAGGAAGGGUGGGGGACACGGAGGGAAUGUGACCGAGGCGGGAAGAGCUGACCUCUGAGCAGCCAGGUGCCUCUCCUGCCAAGGAGGCCAGAGUGGGGUGGCAGCCAGGAACCCGGAGGACUGUCCACAGGACCACAGUCAGAGCGGGCCCAGCACAGCCUCAGCUGCCCAGGUCCAUGGAUUCCAGCCCUGAUCCUGGACCCUCCCACCGUGUGGUUUUAUGCAGGAGAGGGUGCCCUUUGAAGUCACUCUGUGACCUGUGACUUCCACUCCAACCUCCAAAAAAGCAAUAUCCUACCUGUCAAUGUUUCUCUUUGAAGGGGGAAGACUUUUUUUUUUUUUUUUUUUG